GGAGAUUGAGAGUUUGAACAAAGUAAUAAGAAAAACUACUAAACUUUAGAGGGUAGGUCAAUGUAUUUCUUAGGCAUCUUCUCUUAUCCUCCUAGCUAUUUGAGCUGGUUUGUGAGUCUUGUGAUUUGUGCUCAAUGUGUUUCUAGGCCAACUUUGUUCUUGGUCAAAGAGCUAUCAUGUGUAGUGGUUUGUGAUCUCUUAGGGAUAAUAUACUUGUGCUUGUUAUUUGGUCAUGAAUAAUAAUGUGUGAAGUGUGAUGAGAAAUAUUUAUUUGUAUGUGUGGUAUGGAAAGAUUAUUUGUGCUGUCAAUUACCGAAUUGAUUUGUAUGUAAUAUUAAAUUAGAUUAGAUUUUAAUAAAGCGCUACGUGGGCUACACUCAAAAAUCAGUGGGCCCAAAAUUUUGUGGGCUCGACCCCUUGGCCAUUAUUUCGUGGGCCUAAACAAAGUUAUGAUGCUAGCAAAUGCUUGGCUAAAUCUAUUAAGAAUUGGGUCUAAACAAAGUUAUGAUGUCAGCAUAUGUGGUGCUUGAUCCAACAAGAUUCAGCCUAAACCAAGUUAAGAUGUCGGCAAUUAUUAGGCUCAGUUCAAGAAUAAUUGGGCCUAAAUCAAUCUAUGACGACUGCAAUUAUUGGGCUCUGUCCAAUAAGAACUGGGCCUAAUUCAGUCUAUGAUGAAACAGUUCGUCACAACCGUCAUGCCACAUCAGACUGUUGUCCGACGUGGCAUGCUACGUAGGAGCCAGUUUAUGACGAUAUGUGGUACAAAUUUUCAUUCG
rnacentral:lncRNA from 1 species